UAUUGCACAAUGGGGGAAACCCUGAUGCAGCGACGCCGCGUGAGUGAUGAAGUAUUUCGGUAUGUAAAGCUCUAUCAGCAGGGAAGAAUAGGUCAUCAGCCUUUGGCUGGUGACAUGAAUGACGGUACCUGACUAAGAAGCUCCGGCUAAAUACGUGCCAGCAGCCGCGGUAAUACGUAUGGAGCAAGCGUUAUCCGGAUUUACUGGGUGUAAAGGGAGCGCAGACGGCAGGGCAAGUCUGAUGUGAAAAUCCGGGGCCCAACCCCGGAAUUGCAUUGGAAACUGUGCUGCUGGAGUGCAGGAGAGGUAAGUGGAAUUCCUAGUGUAGCGGUGAAAUGCGUAGAUAUUAGGAGGAACACCAGUGGCGAAGGCGGCUUACUGGACUGUAACUGACGUUGAGGCUCGAAAGCGUGGGGAGCAA
rnacentral:rRNA from 1 species